rnacentral:rRNA from 1 species
GGGGGAAAGAUUAAUAAAUUAAUUUAUAAUAAAAAAAUUUUUAUAGAUAAGUAUUUUAAUGGGGGUUAGAGUAUUUAGAAAGAAAUAAUUUUUAAAUUUAUAGUUUAAUAGUAUUGUAAAAGAAUUAUGAAAUAGGGGAAAUAAAAUUCAAGGAAAAGUAAAUUUAAUUUGUUGUAUCUUGUGUAUCAGAGUUUAUUAAUAAUAUUUUUUAAUUAAAAAUUUCUCGAAUUUAAAAGAGUUAAUUAAUUAUAAAAGUUAAUGUAGUAUAAUUAUUUUUAAUAAUUAAUUAGAAAUGAAAUGUUAAUCGUUUUUAAAAAUAUCUAGUUUUUUUAGAAAAAAAUUUAAUUUUAAAUAUUAAAAAUUAAAAUUUUUAUUUUUGAAAAUUUUAUAAUUAAUAUUAAAUAUUUUAAGGGAUAAGCUUUAAAAUAAAUUUUUAUAAUUAGUAUGAAAUUAAAAUUAAAAUUUUAAAAUUUAAAUUGUUAAAUAAAUUAUAAUUUUUUAUAAAUAAUUUAAUUUAAUUUAAAAUUUUAUAAAAAAAUUUAAUUUUUUAUAAAAAAAUAUAUUUUAAUAAAAUAAAAUUAGUUAUAAUGAUAAAAUUAGUAUAUAAAUUUAAUAAUAAAUUAAAAGUUUAUGAUAAAUUAAUUAAAGGAAUUCGGCAAAAAUUUAUAUUCACCUGUUUAUCAAAAACAUGUCUUUUUGGGAAUAAUUUAAAGUCUAAUCUGCCCACUGAUAUAAUAUUAAAGGGCUGCAGUAUUUUGACUGUACAAAGGUAGCAUAAUCAUUAGUCUCUUAAUUGGUGACUUGUAUGAAAGAUUGGAUGAAAUAUAUACUGUCUCUAUUUAAUAAAUAAAAUUUAAUUUUUUAGUAAAAAAGCUAAAAUAAUUUUAAAAGACGAGAAGACCCUAUAGAGUUUUAUAAUUAAUUUAAUUAUUAUUAAUAUUUAAAUUUUAAAAUUAAAAUUAAAUUAAUUAUUUUAUUGGGGUGAUAGAAAAAUUAGAUUAACUUUUUUUUUAUAAUUAACAUUAAUUUAUGAAUAAAUGAUCCAUUAAUAGUGAUUAAAAGAAAAAAUUACCUUAGGGAUAACAGCGUAAUUUUUUUUUUUAGUUCAAAUAGGAAAAAAAGUUUGCGACCUCGAUGUUGGAUUAAGAUAAAAUUUAAAUGCAAAGGUUUAAAAUUUUGAUCUGUUCGAUCAUUAAAAUCUUACAUGAUCUGAGUUCAAACCGGUGUGAGCCAGGUUGGUUUCUAUCUUUAAAUAAUUAUAAUAUUUUAGUACGAAAGGAUCAAAUAUUAAAAAUAAUUUUAAAAUAUUGAAUAUUAAUAAUAUUUAUU